UAAAGAUUGGCAGGGCAAUUCUCCUUUGGCAAAGAACAAAUAUGCAUUUGCGUAGCCACCUUGCCAAUGGAGAACAGCCCUGUUAUCCUUUA
rnacentral:miRNA from 1 species